UCAAUCUAUCUAUAUCUGAUAGAGCAGCCCAAGUAAGACUAGCUUUCAAGCACCUAUUAGCGACUACUUCGGGGGUGUUUCCCUUCAAGUGUGGCGACGUCAAUCACGGAAACAUCUGUAUCUAAAAGGUGACCUUGCAGCCUUCACCCUGAGUUUCGGCGCUUCAGGACCAAAAGUUGGUGGAAGACACCGACAACGCGAUCAAGGAAGACCACAGCCCGAUUCUGCCUAGCCUGCAAUCGGUUGGAAGGCGUGCAGCUCGGGCCAGCAUGAAACGGAGCCCGAAGGAGUGCGACUGCUUGAUGUGCCCGGAAUGUGAGCAGAAGAUUCGUGCUAAGCUAAGAGGUUGGCUGCAGGGACAGCCAGGCCCUCUAGAGCUCGACGAACAAAAGCGGCUGUCGCGAGAAGCUGGUUUUCCGGGCGCCGCUCUGGUGUAUGAAUCGCCGGCCGCUGCCAACAGAAUGCUUACUUCUGCCAUUGGGUGUCGACAACGUUCACCUGAAAGCGAGUCGACGGAGGGCAUCCAGAAAACUGAGACUUCCGACGAGGGCUCUGGCGGCGCAAGUCCUGGAGGCCGUCCUUCGCAAGUAGAAAAGGCUUCUAGCUCAGGGUCUUCUGGCGAGGCUGAAGGGCCUCGAACCGAGAGGCCCUUUUACAGCGGCUGGUGCAGAAAGUGCUAAGGUGCCUCGUGAUAGUCCAUGAUUGCUAUUGGGAUCAUCGACCAUGGCGCUUCCAGCACCGUCUGUUUCGUCAUUCAUGAAGCGAUGCGCACUGCAAUUAUUGAAAGUUUCGAUCUUUAGACAAUAAACUUGCUUUCGUUUCUUUUA